UCCCUGGCAGUCCAGUGGUUAGGACUUGGCGCUUUCACUGCCAAGGCCAAGGUUCGAUCCCUGGUUGGGGAA